rnacentral:rRNA from 1 species
AUGUUUGUGUUCUUCACUGGUGGCAUCGUGUUUUUUACACUGAUAUUGAAUGGUUCUACCACACAAUUUUGGCUGCACGCACUUGGUAUGGACAACUUGUCAGUGACAAAGCUUCGCAUGUUGAAUUAUGCCAGACAUGAAAUUCUAAACAAGACAUUAGAAGCUUUUGGUGAUCUCAAAGAUGAUGAGGAGCUUGGUCCUGCUGACCAGGUUACAGUUAAGAAAUAUAUCACAGGCUUGAGUAACUUGGAAGAUGAACAUGCACAUCCACAUGAUGACAAUCAUGAUCACAUACAUACCAUGAAUUUAAGGGAUGGCCAAGUGUGCAAGCCAGUUACUGGGCAAUGCUUGACGAGGGACAGAUAA